UGUUAUAAUAUUCCUCAAUGGAAAGCCAGGACAUACGUAUUAGCCACACAAUGUAGAAUACAUUAAUGUCGGAAUGUCUUUAGUCAAGUAUACAAAUCAAUCAAUGCUUAUAAACUCAAGAGUUUCUUUAUGUGUAGUCAAACAGAUUUACCUCAUCUGACAAUUAACGUCCCAAAUUCACCAUUGCAUUAUCUGAGUUGCGUAAUCGUGUUUUGUACAUGUCUGUGUAAGCUGAACCGGUUAGUACUAGUUUUAUAACUAGCCGAGAAGCCAGAACAUCGACGCAGUAGUAUGUAUACAAAACUAUUUUUCUGUAGAUUUUAAAUUCAAUAAGCGUAAACAUCUGGUAUAAAAGCCGGAAAAGUGGAUAUUAAGUUAGAAGUCUUCUUGUCAGCGAUAACCACAUUUGCUAAU
rnacentral:lncRNA from 1 species